CGCCUAAACCCUGAGUAAUCAGGGCAUGGUGAAAGAACCGAUGAGAGGCAAAAAGCUCCUAGUCAGAGCACUCUCAUCGGUCAUGUCUCGAAAGGGAUAUGGGUGCCGCAAGACAUC
rnacentral:sRNA from 12 species